UACGUAGGGGGCAAGCGUUGUCCGGAUUUAUUGGGCGUAAAGAGCGUGUAGGCGGCCAGAUAGGUCUGUUGUGAAAACUCGAGGCUCAACCUCGAGACGCCGAUGGAAACCAUCUGGCUAGAGUCCGGAAGAGGAGAGUGGAAUUCCUGGUGUAGCGGUGAAAUGCGCAGAUAUCGGGAGGAACAUCAGUGGCGAAGGCGGCUGCCUGGCCCAAUACUGACACUCAGGUGCGACAGCGUGGGGAGCAAACAGG
rnacentral:rRNA from 1 species